rnacentral:lncRNA from 1 species
AAGGCCUUUGCGUCAGCCAGCAGACGGCAAAACAUCCGGUUGAACGCACGCACGCACGCAUAUAUAUAUAUAACCAAUAUAGGAUAUCCAACACAUGUUACCAAUAGUAGCAAGUUUCAUCCAUACAUAUACAUAGUUUCAUCAAUAUUACAAAGUUUCAUCCAUAGGUAGCAAGUUUCACAAAGUAAAAACAAAAACUAAAGAGAAGCACUCCAUAUAUGAAAUUACAAGAAAUGACUUAAAACUAAAUAUCUAUUUUCCUAAAAACUAUCUUAUUACUAAGAUCUUCUCUCGAUCUUCUUCUUUUCUUCCAACCUGCAUAACAAAAACACUAAGAAAGAAAGAAUGGGUUAGGAGUAGAAAUGUAGCAUUUCACUUGGUGAAAUGCAAUGCUGUAGGAGCCAGCACUUGAGAUAAGACAAUCUUAAAUUAGUGUAAAGUUAUGACUUUUUAACUCAGCAUUUGUAUGCACGGCGUAUCCACAGACAAAAAUAGUGUAGGGCUUUUAGAGCAGAAUUAUAUCAGAAACAGUUAGCAUACCACCACACUGAUAAGAACUGCGAGCAUGGCUGGUUUUUACCACUGAGCAUUUGAGACAAAUUGAAGAUUCCGUGUAUAUGCAAUACAGAGACCCCUAAGACAAGUAUUUACACAGGACCAAACUGAGAAAAUAGACACAACAAUGUGGAAAAUGGAAAAAUCAGCUAAGAAGUUACAAAGAUAAACCAAGCUAUAUAUUUUUUAGAUUGUUCAAGAUGUAUUAGUGAGUAAAAUAUACUGCAUUUAAAUUGCGAGCACAGAGGUGGAAUGUGAAACCAUAUGUGUAGUUCAUUAAAUAAACCCCUCCUUUCAUAUCAAGCAUGUACAAACAUAAAAUUCGCCUAACCAAAAAAGAUCCAAUGACCAACUUUAGUUUUAAGCAUUAAUCUUGGUAAAUGCAUAAUUAGAAAAUCCAAGCAGAAUUUCGAGUAAAAGAAAAUUAUGACAGCCUCAACAAGUACUAAACGAAAAGAAGAUCUGACAACUACUCCCUCCAUCCCAUAAUAUAAGAGCGUUCUUGACACUAGAUCUGACAACGAGUUAUGUAGUGUUACACCAUUUUAUCUGUUCAAACGAUGCUGGCCCGUUACAGACAGUUACCACAGGGUUCGCCUCUUACAUAACACACUUUUUCUUUUGUGGGUAAAACACAGACUACCCUAAAGAAUUUUGUUCUUAAGAGAUUAGUAAAGAAUUUGUGUUGCACAAGAAGGCAUUUUCUGUUGCAUAAGAAGGCAUUUUGUGAAACUAAUUAGCCGUGCUAAAUCUGCCCUGCUCUUCUCAAUAGUACAAACCGGCCAAACCCUAUCCACUGGAACAUACAGUACCAACUACACAGAAACAGCUUUCCAAAAAAAAAAAAAAGACGAUGGAUCUAGCAAGCUGGCGGCAUCGGAGGAAGACGAUGUUUCCCAAACAGUACCAACAUACAGUACCAACUACACAGAAACAGCUUUCCAACUAUACACUGGCAUAGCCUGUAUGGGACUCUAUUUUUCUGUUGUCUAGUAGAGUACUAGAUGUGAGUAAGAGGAAAGUUAAUGUAAUGGUAAUACCAGCCAGCAAGCUUGGAGCUUCAGCCCACCCCCAGUCUACGAGUCAUUGGCGGACAUCAUCUCCUCAUGUUCAAGAAAUCUGGAGCAAUUUUAAACAGCAGCGACACCAUGGCAUGGAGCCAUUUUCCUCUCUGUAAUCUGGAGCAAUCGAAAAAAAAACUGGAGUCACAGGCGUAAACAUGAUUAAACCUAGCCAUAUUGCUAACUUUCUACUGUAGAAUACUGUAGUCUGCAGCUAAACUCACAGCUACUAGCUGCCUAUCUUCACUAGGGAAUUUCUGUAUGCGGGAUCUAAAACUAUAUACGUUUUCAAGCAUGUCUCGAAAGCCUGCAGAGCUCCUAACAUAACUUGCUGAUGUACAUCUAAAGUGAUUAUCUCUUGUCAGAAUGCUCUUUUUCAGCUGCAACCACAUAAACACUUUUACUUUUUAAGUUUAACACACCACAUCUUCCCAAUGCAUUCAGUUAACUUCGUAUAUACUGUGUGGCAUUUUUUGUUACACAGGUACCCAUUAUAAUCAGGGAUAUUCCUGCAGUCAGCACAGCAGAAAUAAAUCAACCACACCAAGAACGUAUCACCCCCACCGUCUACUUAAACUGAGCGAGGUCUUCCCAAAUCGACAGUUUAAGACUGGGUAAAGGGGAGAGAUGGGGGGAAACGCACCUGGUGGCCGAUGGGCUUGGCCGGCGCUGCUUCGGCGAGGGGCGUCACUCCGGCGAGGAGGAGGCCGGAUCCAGAGUGGCUGGACCUCCCGCAGCAGGAUCCGGGCGCGAGGCAGCGUGGGGCGGCGGCGGCGACGCAGGGACGCGGGCGGGGCACAGAGGAGCUCGGUGUUCAAGGGAGGCGGGGUCGGGCGGCGCUCGACUGUAGGGCAGGCGUUGUCGAAUCCCGCCGGAGCUCGCCGGAAUUGGCCACCGUAGCUGCUCGCAGGAGGGAGAGGGAGAGACGAGCGGGAGAGAGAGAGGGGUGGGGCGGAGAGAGAGGGGAUAGAGAUAGGAUAGAGAUAGACGAGGUGGGGG